rnacentral:rRNA from 1 species
UACAGAGGGUGCAAGCGUUAAUCGGAAUUACUGGGCGUAAAGCGUGCGUAGUCGGUUAUCUAAGUCGGAUGUGAAAUCCCCGGGCUCAACCUGGGAAUUGCAUUCGAUACUGGAUAGCUAGAGUUCGGCAGAGGGAAGUGGAAUUUCGGGUGUAGCGGUGAAAUGCGUAGAUAUCCGAAGGAACAUCAGUGGCGAAAGCGACUUCCUGGACCAGAACUGACGAUCAGGCACGAAAGCGUGGGGAGCAAACA